AUGAGGAUGUGGACAACUUUGUGUGUGGCCAUGUACUUCUUUGGAGCAAGAGCUAAAAUCACCCAAACUCCAGAUCUUGUGUUGAAGGAAGAUAAGCAAGCUACUCUGACAUGCAGUCAAAAUGACAAUCAUAAUUAUAUGUUCUGGUAUCUGCAGCAGCCAGGGAAGGGGCUGCAACUGAUCUAUUAUUCCUUUGGUGCAAACGACGAACAAGAGGGUGACAUUCACAUUGGAUACAAAGCUAAACGAUUAAACACUUCAGACUUCCGUUUGGAUAUUGCAUCUGUGAAGAUGAACCAUUCUGCUGUCUAUUUCUGUGCCAGCAGUCAGAACACAAUAUUUGAAA